GGUUUUUUCAUCAACACAAUAAUGAAUAUUUAGGGAAUAUCAACCCCAGAUUUUUGUCCAUCUUAAAUAUGUUUCUUUCUUUGUUUAGCUGUUUAGCUUGGUUUAGGGUUAGGGUUAUUUGCUAGCUGUUUCAUUUGGUUUAUUCACUGAGGAGCAAUUGUAGGUUUAAUUUGUGUUCCGUUUCAAACCUUCUGCCAGUUUUGUAUUUUCUCAUAUAAACUGAUACAAAACGGAUAUGUGUAUUCACAGGCACUCGUCUUAUACCUUUAUAUAAUAAAUUCUGAGACCAGUGCCUGUGUGUGUAUUCAUUAAUUAACCGUAUAAUGAAAAAAAAAAUAGUAUAUAAACUCUAAUUAUACUUGAAUGUUUUUGUUUUAUUCCAAUUUUCAUCAAUCUGGGUUUAGUUGUCUUUUAUUAGUACUUUUGGUUUGGCCUUUCACUUUUUCCAACUGAUUUCGUUUUUGAGGAAACCCCGUUUUUAUCAGCAAUGUUCUCGUUAAGAUACGCACACACGCCCGUGUGUUCGAUGGACGCUUCCUAAAACACUGAGUCUUGUUAUCAUCAUAACUUUCCCUCAGCUUUUCAAAAGAAGCAGAAAGCAUGCUUCUAUUCAAUAUUUUUACCGGACAUUCACUUUCGUUUUAAUUCAAUGUACAAAAUGUAUGUUAUGAUAAAUUCAGAGCAAUGCGAAAAAAAUUUGACUACAUGACACACGCUAAUUGGAUAAACGCCGAGAAGAUCAAAAUGUUUUCAAAAACACGUGUACCUAUUGAGCAACGGAAAACUCUAACAGGGACCCAUUUCAGUUACUUGAUGCAGGGAUCUAUUUUUAGAACGAACGGAAAUUUCCAAUUAUAAAUAUUAAAAAAAUAGUUUACGCGACGACUGUAAACAGAUAAGGG
rnacentral:lncRNA from 1 species